rnacentral:rRNA from 1 species
GACGAACGCUGGCGGCGUGCCUAAUACAUGCAAGUCGAACGCAGUGGGGACGGGUGAGUAACACGUGGGUAACCUCCCAUCAGAGGGGAUAACACUUGGAAACAGGUGCUAAACCGAUACUGAUGGAUGGACCCGGGGUGCUUUAGUGAGUUGGGGGGGUAACGGCUCACCAAGGCCACGAUGCAUAGCCGACCUGAGAGGGUGAGCGGCCACACUGGGAAUGAGACACGGCCCAGACUCCUACGGGAGGCAGCAGUGGGGAAUCUUCGACAAUGGACGAAAGUCUGACCGAGCAAGGCCGCGUGAGUGAAGAAGGUUUUCGGAUCGUAAAACGCUGUGGUUAGGGAGGCGGUAUCGAACGAGAAAGCCACGGCUAACUACGUGCCAGCAGCCGCGGUAAUAC